CAACCCUAGAGCCCUCAUCAUUCCUUCCAUCCACUCCCCAAUGCCUCCUCCUCAUCCCCAGCCGGCGGCUCGACCUCUCGUGCCCUCGCCGACAUCAACCUCUCCUGCACUCACACGCCAGCCGCCGAUCUCCCGCGCCCUCACCCGCCAGCAGCCGAAGUCGCUCUCCCCCGCAGGGGGCUCGUCCUUCCGUGGUGCUCAGCCACCGUCCGGUUUGGAGGGGGAAUAGGAGACCCCCAACGAAAACGAGCGUGCUAGCGGUGGACCCAAGGAUGCGCGGUGAUUGUGCCAGGUCCAUGCUCCAGUUCUUCUGUUGGGUGAGCUUCUUCACCCUUCUUGUCAAGGAGAUGUUCAUGUCUAGGUAGGUUCCUACAAAUGGGAUUCCUUUUGUUUCUUUCAGUCGACCAGAUGCUCAGAUCUAGCUAGGCUUUCAUGUAGAAAUUUUGUUGUCUUUUUAAGUUUGUUGGGUACCUCAGCUAAGUUUCCGCAAAGUGGAUUUUUGUUUGUUACUGCUCAAGAGAUGCUCUCGGAUCUAGCUAUAUUCCUGAAAGUUUUUUUUGUUGGCUUUCUUAGUUUGUUUGGUACCUUGAUCUUUCCUCGUCGAGAAGGGGAUAUAUUUGUCCUGGAGCUCCAUUUCUCUUUAUGGAGGAGUCUUUUGUUCCUUUGCUUGAUUUGGCGCCUGGCGUGGGCAUCUGUUUCAAGAGGGGACGACAUACAAUCCAUGCAAGUGUGCUUAGUUGUUGUAUGUAUGGAAGCUGCAGCAUCUUGCCAAUUAGUCCCCACUAAAAUUAAUUUACCUCUCCAUCUUUUUGUCUCGUGGAUAUCGAUGCGAGUACUGUAGGUAAAUAAAUGUUCUAUGGGAAAACAUGCUGAUUCAGAACCAUAGCAAAUGGAACUGUGCUUUGUAAGUAACUGGUACAGACGCUAUUUAGAACCAUAGCAAAACAACUAUACAAUUAAAAUAUCCAUGACUAAUUUGCAAGGUACAGCAGCGCGGAAGCAGCAACAGUCAUGUUCUCAAGCUUUGAUUUUGUAUAUAGAGCUAACGAUCCAUGCCCAAUAUGAAAAAAUAUCAUUUCUGCUUGGUCUUUUGUCCUUGGACCCUUCAAGAUGGCCAUCCCCUACUCCAUCAGAGUCCCUUGCUAUAAAAAAUCAGAAGUUUUCAGAUUUAGUUGUCAAAUGCUUAAUUAAGUUGACAAAGGUAUGUUGUCAUUUUUAUUUGACCAUUCUGAAUCUGUACAGAUAUCACUUCUGAAUGCACAUGUCAUCUUUCAGGUUCUUCAGAGUACAAUAUAUGAGGUUGACCUUGAUUGCAUUCUUCAAAGUGUUCAUAUUUAUUUACAAGAACUUGGAAUGGAAGAGAUACGGAGGAGGGCUGGAGCUGAUAACAAGCCAUUAAGAAUGGUCAAAAUUGUGCUGCAUGAACUUGUAAAGCUACGAGGCACAGCAAUAAAAGGUCACCUUUCAAUGGUUCCUAUAGACUCUGAGCAUACAUUGAUCUUAAUCUCCAGACCCUUGCAGCAGCUAGGAUGUUAACCCCAUCUGGACCUAUGGGUCAAACUCACUCGGGUGAUGCUGCAUCGAACACACCAAAUCCAUCAGUUCAUUCAACGGAUGCACAAUUGAAGGUUACUCCAAUUCCUUUCUCCUUCUAUCAAUGUCGUGCUUGUGGGUAAUUUUUUUUUACUUGGAGUUCAUGGUACUGUAUGCAUUUAGAUUAUUUGCGUUUUGCCAAUCAAAAGUUCCGACUUAAACUGUACUACCAUUGCUAUCAUGGCAUUGUGCAUGGAUGAGCGCAAUGCACACACUCGUUCUUUUGUUCUUAAAUACCACCAUAUUCCCCCAUCGUAGUUUGCUAAGAUGAUACUAUUAAAUAAUUUAUGCAUGAGUAUGUAUAAGAUAUUUUGUUACUCGGAUUAUAACUCUUGCCUGUGUUUGUUGAUCCAAACAAAGAUGUUUACUCAAGGUUGGUUUGUUGAUAUUAUACAUUGAUUUGAUCCACUUUCCACAUUUCCAUUGUUAAACCCUAAACAGGCAUCCAUGUCCUUGGUGCCACUUCUUUACAUUUAUAAGCAUUGUAAUCCUUUUUCAGUGGUGACUGUAAAUGAUUAUUUGGCACAGCGAGAUGCUAAAUGGAUGGGUCGCGUUCAUUGUUUUCUUGGCCUAACUGUCGGUCUAAUUGAGGUGUACUUCUACAUAAUGGUGUUGUCAUACUUUCUAGACUCCCUUAUCAUUCUGGCUUGGAACUAGUCAGUUUCUGCGCUGUUACAGUAUUUUUAUAUAAAUGUAUGAUCGGAGGAAAACAUUCAACCUUCUUUCACUCUUUCAUCUGUGGCAUAUGCAUAGGCGGGUAUGAAGUCUGAUGAGAGGAGAGCCAACUAUAUGUGUGACAUUACAUACACUAAUAACUCGGUAAGAUGCUCAGUAGAACAACAACUUUAAGAUAGUUCUAUAGUGGCUAUUCAUCUGAGGACCUUUCUUCUUCUUGCAACUUGGUAUUAUAUGUUAAAGUUGUCUUCAUUUCAGAUUAGAAGUAAUAAUAAAAUAAGUUGUCUUUGAAUCUGCCUGUGAGCUGCGGCCAUACUUGUUAAUGAACCCUUUACCUACUUAUCUUGGUUAUGUAGUACUUUAUAGUCAUAUCCCAUAUCAGUAUCCUUGUCUAAUUUAAGAUUGCUUUUCUUACUAUGAAGAAGAUUUGUGCUGCUGUAGUGUUCUUCAGUUUCUGGUGUUUAGAUGCCAGUUCAUUGUUGAGACAGUUCUGCUUUGUCCGUCUUCUGGAAAAUGCAGUAAGUAAAUUUUGUUUUCUGGACAUUUUUGCAGAUCCUAUUCGCCAAAGGAAAAAUAAACAGAUAGAGAGGUAUAAAUUCAACAAAAAACAUUUUUUAUUAAAAGGCUAUUCCAUUUGUCACCUAUUGUACUUGCCCAUGACUAAAACAAUUAAUACAUGGUUUUCUUUUCAAAGCAUGCACGAAAUUAGUAGGCCUCUGCGCAACGGGUUUAGUGCUGCCAGGAGAUUAAGUAUAUUCAUGAAGUUGUGCAAAGUUUAAAAUUGGUUGCAGUAUCUCACAUUUGUCAAAUCCUCAUAUGUUGCUGGUAGUCAUGCUUAUGCCCAGAAUAUUAAGUAAGCUUGUGCUAUGCUGUGACUAAAUAAAGCAAUGUUCAGACUUAUCUUUUGUUUGCUCUACUUAAAGUGUUCAGGGUUUACCCAGAGGGCAAUUAUAUGUUUCCUACUGCCAUCUCCCACGUGACGUCAAGAAAAUCCCUGAUGUUUAUGUUUUACUUGGCCUAAAUUUUGGUUUUCAAAUAGUUCUGCCUCUCAAUUUGAUAUUUCUACUUGCUUUUGCUUAGUAAUAUGAUGUACUGUUUUCUAGCUCUAGGCCUACUUGCAUUCAAGGUUCAGUUGAUUGUUCUUCUUAAGGGUGUUUUUUUAAUUAGUGGCAUCAACAUGUGGCACUAAUUCCGUUGUGCAUUGUAUUGUGAAUUUUCCAAGCAACACCAUUAUGGUAAAUAGAGAUGCUAAUGAGAAUAACAGAGAUGCUAAGAGACAACCUUUUGGGGAUAUAAACAACAUGGCUUAUGAGUCCGAAGAAAGCUGUCUUUUGGUUCUUGAAGCCCUGCACUUUCCUGGUGGAGUAGAAGCAAAAUAAUUCAGAGACUUUAAAGCUACUGCGCUUCAUGUACUUAGGAUUAAUUCUUAGUCUCGGUUUGAAAUACUCCCCACUUCUUACUAUUUGAUUGAUACGUCUGAUGGACAUUUUGUCAAGCAAAUGAACAGAAGGCAUAUGUAUUAUUACGAGUGAAGCCAUCCAUACAAGUUAAGAUAUUAAUAAUCCUGUAUGUGGAAUUCAAGAUAUAGAGAAAUGUUAUUAUUCUUCUGCAAAUUGGUUGCUUGACCAAA